rnacentral:rRNA from 1 species
GACGAACGCUGGCGGCGUGCCUAAUACAUGCAAGUAGAACGCUGAAGAGAGGAGCUUGCUCUUCUUGGAUGAGUUGCGAACGGGUGAGUAACGCGUAGGUAACCUGCCUGGUAGCGGGGGAUAACUAUUGGAAACGAUAGCUAAUACCGCAUAAAAUUGAUUAUUGCAUGAUAAUUAAUUGAAAGAUGCAACUGCAUCACUACCAGAUGGACCUGCGUUGUAUUAGCUAGUUGGUGAGGUAACGGCUCACCAAGGCGACGAUACAUAGCCGACCUGAGAGGGUGAUCGGCCGCACUGGGACUGAGACACGGCCCAGACGCCUACGGGAGGCAGCAGUAGGGAAUCUUCGGCAAUGGGGGGAACCCUGACCGCGCAACGCCGAGUGAGUGAAGAAGGUUUUCGGAUCGUAAAGCUCUGGUGUAAGAGAAGAACGGGUGUGAGAGUGGAAAGUUCACACUGUGACGGUAACUUACCAGAAAGGGACGGCUAAUUACGUG